CAGUAGCCGCGGUAAUACGUAGGGUGCGAGCGUUAAUCGGAAUUACUGGGCGUAAAGCGUGCGCAGGCGGUUCGUUAAGACAGAUGUGAAAUCCCCGGGCUUAACCUGGGAACUGCAUUUGUGACUGGCGAGCUAGAGUAUGGCAGAGGGGGGUAGAAUUCCACGUGUAGCAGUGAAAUGCGUAGAAAUGUGGAGGAAUACCGAUGGCGAAGGCAGCCCCCUGGGCCAAUACUGACGCUCAUGCACGAAAGCGUGGGGAGCAAACAGGAUUAGAUACCCGCGUAGUCCCUGUCUCUUAUAC
rnacentral:rRNA from 1 species